rnacentral:rRNA from 1 species
AUUGAACGCUGGCGGCAGGCCUAACACAUGCAAGUCGAGCGGAUGAAGGGAGCUUGCGCCUGGAUUCAGCGGCGGACGGGUGAGUAAUGCCUAGGAAUCUGCCUGGUAGUGGGGGAUAACGUCCGGAAACGGGCGCUAAUACCGCAUACGUGCUGAGGGAGAAAGAGGGGGAUCUUCGGACCUCACGCUAUCAGGUGAGCCUAGGUGGGGUUAGCUAGUUGGUGGGGUGAAGGCCUACCAAGGCGACGAUCCGUAACCGGUUUGAGAGGGUGAUCAGGCACACUGGGACUGAGACCCGGUCCAGACUCCUACGGGAGGCAGCAGUUGGGAAUUUUCGACAAUGGGCGAAAGCCUGAUUCAGCCACGCCGCGUGUGUGAAGAAGGUUUUCGGAUUGUAAAACACUUUUAUUUGGGAAGAAUGGCAGUAAGUUAAUACCUUGCUGUUUUGACGUUACCAACAGAAUAAGCACCGGCUAACUUCGUG